UUUUUAUGUGGACCUCUGUUCUUGUACCAUUGGUGCUUGGACAGAACCACAUAAGCAGGUGAAACUUCUUAGAGGAACUGGCGCCCGAAAAGGCGCACGAGAAAGAGCAAUAACAGGUCUGUGAUGCCCUUAGAUGUCCGGGGCCGCACGCGUGCUACAAUGACGAUGCUAUUGAGCAUGAUUAACUUGUCCGAAAGGAUUGGUGAAACUGUUCAAUCAUCGUCGUGACUGGGAUUGGGGUUUGUAAUUAUCCCCCAUGAACCAGGAAUUCCUAGUAAGCACAAGUCAUAAGCUUGUGCUGAUUACGUCCCUGCCCUUUGUACACACCGCCCGUCGCUACUACCGAUUGAAUGGUUUAGCAAGGACAUUGGAUUGAGCCCUUGCGGUUUCGGCUGCUUGGGUUUGAGAAGAUGUCCGAACUUGAUCAUUUAGAGGAAGUAAAAGUCGUAACAAGGUUUCCGUAGGUGAACCUGCGGAAGGAUCAUUAUCAAGUUUCCUAGACCCUCUACAGCAUACUGACUAUAUCCUACACAGUGUAAUGUCUGAACUGAACUCGAUUUACGGGUCUUUCAGCGUACAUUGUGGAGGCUGUUAGCAGUGUGUGAAUGAGACCCACAUGCUUGGGGCUUACGCCUGACUGCGUGGGGUCGCCCUAUGAUACAGAAAUGAGCUUGACGGUGCGGACAGUAACACUCUUACAGUCUGCGCUUAGUCUUGUUCAUCUGCCGACUCUGACUGGAGUGGCCAUGUUGUUGCGUGUAGGUGGUAACGUUCUACGCGUAGCAUGUGGCUGCACCUAUGAAUUGUACAUGUUCAGUCAGAGACCCGGUGCGUUACAAACAUUCUCCCUUCGGGUGAGUCCUGUGUGCCUUCCAAACAUUUUAAACAACCUCGGCUAUGUAUGGUGCUGCGUCGGUAGCAAUACUGACAAGGCGCUGUACUGGCCCGGUGCGCGUUGCCCUCGGGUGACAAACGCCAACCUUACAACUG
rnacentral:rRNA from 1 species